rnacentral:rRNA from 1 species
UACGGAGGGUGCAAGCGUUGCUCGGAAUUAUUGGGCGUAAAGGGCAGGUAGGUGGUCUUAUUUGUCUGGGGUGAAAUCCUUGAGCUUAACUCAAGAAGUGCCCUAGAAACGGUAAGACUAGAGUCUUGGAGAGGGUCGUGGAAUUCCCGGUGUAGCGGUGAAAUGCGUAGAGAUCGGGAGGAACACCAGAGGCGAAGGCGGCGACCUGGACAGAACUGGACACUCAACUGCGAAAGCGUGGGGAGCAAACAGG